rnacentral:rRNA from 1 species
UACGUAGGGGGCUAGCGUUGUCCGGAAUUACUGGGCGUAAAGAGCUCGUAGGUGGUUUGUCGCGUUGUCCGUGAAAACUCACAACUCAAUUGUGGGCGUGCGGGCGAUACGGGCAGACUGGAGUACUGCAGGGGAGACUGGAAUUCCUGGUGUAGCGGCGGAAUGCGCAGAUAUCAGGAGGAACACCGGUGGCGAAGGCGGGUCUCUGGGCAGUAACUGACGCUGAGGAGCGAAAGCGUGGGGAGCGAACAGG